rnacentral:lncRNA from 1 species
CUUAGAUGCAUAACAGAUUUUUGACUGAAGAGAAGGAGUGCUAGAGGCAGAGGAGGGACCUUUCUUCUCCAGGAAGAACUCUCUGAGGCCUUGGACUUGAGCAGUAUGAUUUGGGCCUGGUAGCAAUGUGCACAAGGGAAGCAGGAACCCUCUCCUCACUGAUGUAUGGACCACUUGGGCCCUUCCAGGGUUCACAAUUUUGAAAGCCUCAGGAUAAAACACCUUUGUCUCAGACUUGGAUAUGAGCUUUUCCAUACAGAAACCCAACAGCAGAGGAGGCAAAAUUACUCAGAAACCUGAAGACUGGAAAAAAACUUGAGUUCUUACUCAGGAGAGCUCAGCCUUCUGCAAGCAAAGGUCAUCACAGGACCUUAGUCUGGACACAGGAAGCACGAGGAAUACACUGGUUUCUCAACCCCCCUCCCUGCCACCUUCUAUAACUUCUCCUCAGGCCUUCAUUUUGCUGGGGUGGGUGCCAGGGCCACGGGACAACUGGUAAAGUUGAUGUGGAUUGAUGUUUACACAUAUUAGGAAAGGGAAGAAGAACUAUCCCCAAAAUAAUCCUCUCCCGCUCCUUUCCACCUCAUGCACUAACUGUUAUGAAACAACACUAGAUCCU